GAAACAUCCCUCCAUGGCCUCUGCAUCAGCUCCUGCUUUCUGACCUGUUUGAGUUCCAGUCCUGACUUCCUUGGUGAUAAACAGAAGUAUGGAAGUGGGAGAGCUAGCGGUGUGCAUUGUGGAGCUCCCAAGGAGUUUGCAAUCAUGGUCUUAAAUCCUAGUGUGCAGCAACAAUUGGUGUCCUCAAAAGGAAAAGGUCUUUGCUGAUCUUCACUUCAUUGAGAGCGCCACAGUAGAGAACUUCUCCAGACAUCUCAGCUGGUUCUGGUCCCUCCCACUGACUUUGCAGAUUUGGCAGAAGCCUGACUGUUUCUGCUGGAUCAUGCCACGGCUGCUGACUCAUGGUUGGUAUCCUGACACUCCUGAACUGGUGGUCUGCUGCUAUCCUGACAACAGAGAUUGGAAUUGCCCCAAAGAGCUACUUCUAAACAGAAGACCUGGGUUCAGUUCUCCACACCACAUGGUGGCUCGCAACUGUCUGUAACUCAAAUCCCUGGGGAUCCAACACCCUCUUCCAACCUCCAAAGGCACUGUACAGAAAUG
rnacentral:lncRNA from 1 species